UGAAUACUCCCAGGAGGUCACCCUCCCUGGGCUGUCACUGGCAUAGCUGAGCACGGGGUUUUGCCCCAUGCCAUACAGUCCCUUUCUACAAUGUUGGAAAUGAAGCCAGCCUGGAAUCUGAAUCUGCAUAUUCCUACAGCGUCUCAGGGUUCUGUGGACGAUGACUGAGGAACAAACCAUGCAGGAAAAACAU
ensembl:snoRNA SNORA73 Small nucleolar RNA SNORA73 family